rnacentral:misc_RNA from 1 species
AACUUUCAGCAAUGGAUCACUUGGUUCUGGCAACGAUGAAGAACGCAGCGACAUGCGAUAAGUAAUGUGAAUUGCAGAAUUCAGUGAAUCAUCGAAUCUUUGAACGCACAUUGCGCCCCCUGGUAUUCCGGGGGGCACACCUGUUCGAGCGCCAUUUCUACCCUAGAGCCAUGCUCUGUGAUGGGCCCCGUCCUCGCGGACGGGCCCGAAACCCGUGGGCGCCGUCGUCCGGCCCUGAGCGUAGCAAGAGAAAUCCCUCGCUCGGAGUGUCUGAUGGUGGUUGCCCUGACCUAUUUUACAAGGUUGGCCUCGGAUCAGGUGGGGAUACCCGCUGAACUUAAGCAUAUCAAUAAGCGGAGGCU